AUCGCAGAUCAGCAUGCUGCGGUGAAUACGUUCCCGGGUCUUGUACACACCGCCCGUCACACCAUGGGAGUCGGAAAUGCCCGAAGUCGGUGACCCAACCGGAAGGAGGGAGCCCGCCGAAGGCAGGUCUGAUAACUGGGGUGAAGUCGUAACAAGGUACC
rnacentral:rRNA from 1 species